UCUUGGCUGCCUUUGCAUCAAGAUGUAGAAGGCUUGGCUCUUCCAGCAUCGUGUCUGCCUGCACGCUGCCAUAUUCCUAUGAUGAUGAUAAUGGACUGAACAUCUGACACUAGACAACAUGCCCUUUUAUCAUGUGUGGAAUCCUGAUGAAGACCAGCCAGGGUCUGGAGGGAGCUGCAGGACCACAGGCCGUACAUGCUGCAUUUGAGAGAGCUUUCAAUGCCAAGCAGGAAGGAUUCUCCCAAAACCAUGCUGCUUGUGGCUCUGGAGAGGACCACAGUUCCCUGAGGAUCUCAGCACAUCCCAGCAGGGAUGCAGCAUGUUAGCAAACCAUCCCCUGUAAAGUGCCUGGGAGGAGAGAGCUGUCUUUCUGAGACACCUGCUUGGAAGGCCUGAGGCUCUGUAAGUGGAGCUGACUCAACCCAGGGCACCAAAGAAGGCUGUCGGCAAUGGGUGAACCCUGGAUACUGAUUUUGUGCCUGCAGCAACCUUCACCCCUCUAAGAAGCACAGGAUAGGCAGAUAUUGGCCUCUCCCAAGCCUGCGCUUGGCUCAGAGGCAUUGCUGCUUGCAUUGCUCAUUGUUGGAGAUUGGUUCUGAGCUUUGAUUCAAUCGAGAAUCUGCAUGUCUAGACACUAAAGGUCCAUGUCCCCAA